rnacentral:rRNA from 1 species
CACGUAGGGCGCGAGCGUUGUCCGGAAUUAUUGGGCGUAAAGAGCUCGUAGGCGGCCUGUUGCGUCCGCUGUGAAAGCCCGGGGCUUAACCCCGGGUCUGCAGUGGAUACGGGCAGGCUAGAGGUAGGUAGGGGAGAAUGGAAUUCCCGGCGUAGCGGUGAAAUGCGCAGAUAUCGGGAGGAACACCGGUGGCGAAGGCGGUUCUCUGGGCCUUACCUGACGCUGAGGAGCGAAAGCGUGGGGAGCGAACAGG